UGUGUGUGUGUUCAAGGCACAUGUGAAUUCAGCACACCACCACUACACCACUGAUGCACUCUUCUCUCCGUUUCAGGUGUCACGCACUGCACAAGGCUGGCGGUGACGGUGACAGCGGCAAACUACACGUUCACCAUAUUCUGUUCCUCGCCGGUCUUCCCUCUCUCUUUCCCUGGCGUACUUCUCUUGUUGUUUAAAUGCUGCUGGUGUCCUGGCCGUGCAGGUGUGGACGUGGUACUGUGUGAUGGAGCGGGGCCGUGGAGGAAGGAGGAUGGCCGCAGCGCGAGGCAAGUUAGGAGGAAAGUCUGGGUGGAAUAUCCCAGGAAAGAUAAGCAGUUCCUCCAAUCCCUGGCUUGAUUGACGUGUGUGAUGAGGCGUGUGGAGGGCAAGACCCGCUCCUCUUCCUCCUCCUCCAGCAUUGCGUAAGCCGUUAUUUUGAGGCGGGUAAUGCGCAUGAUUGGGGUCACCUGAUCCGCUUCCCCACCACGUGAAUUAUGGUAAUCUUGUGCAAAUCUGUCUGUUCAUCCCUUUGUAUUUGUAAUGGACUGUGUCAAGCUUG